GAUAUUUUUCUCUUCUCUUUCCAGCGAAGAUGUACAACGGAAUCGGCCUACAAACGCCGCGAGGCUCCGGCACCAACGGCCACAUCCAGACCAACAAGUUCUUCGUCAAGUCGAAGACGAACAAAGUCCUUGUAGACGGCGGCAAAGGUUACGAGUCCGGUCAAGGAACUGCCGGAGUGUCGAGGAAAGCAAACAAGGACAUUCUCGAACAUGACCGGAAACGGCAGAUUCAGCUCAAACUUCUUGUCCUUGAGGAGAAGCUUGCCGAUCAGGGAUACACUGAUGCUGAGAUCUCCGAGAAGCUCGAGGAAGCGCGAAGGAAUCUAGAGGCAACAUCUGAGGAAUUUGGAGGACCUACCUAUGAAAAGGUUUCGGAAACACAAACACACCAGAUUGCUGCUUUGAAAGAAAAACAAAUGGAAAACUUAAAAGCUGCUCUCAAGAUAGGGGAUGAACACGAGACUCAGAAGCAGCAGCAUGAUGCUUUAGCUCAUUUUGAAGAGGGUGAAGUUAAUGACUUGGCAAAAGAGAAGGACGAGGGUAAGCGUCAUAAAAAAAAAGAGAAGAGAAGAGGACGUGACAAUUCUUCUGACACUGACAGCAGUGAAAGCCAUGCCAAAGAGUCUAAAAAGAUCCGUAAGAAGGCUCUUGCUAGUUCUGAUUCUGAUACUGCUGGUGGUAAUAAGUCAAGAAAGUUGUCUGUCAAGGGCAAGAAGGCUAGAAGGCGGCAUCACAGUGAUGAUUCAUCGUCUGAUUCUGAUUCUGACUCUUAUUCAGAGUCUGAUCAUGAGAAGAAACAGGUGAAAGUCCAUAGGAGACAUUUUGUGGGUGAUGAUGAUGGCCGUGAUGCAAAAACCAUUAAGCUUCAACAGGGUAGAAGACAUGAUUCUGAUGAGGAUGACCAUGUCAAUGACCGUGAUGUCAAAAACAAGACGAUUCAGAAAGAGAAAAGACAUGUUGCUGAGGAUAAAUAUGAUGAUGGUCGUGAUGCUAAAAACAAGACCUCACAAAGAGGUAGAAGACAUGAUUCUGAUGAGGAUGACCAUGACAAUGACCGUGAUGUCAUAAACAAGAUGAUUCAGAAAGAAAAACGACAUGUUGCUGAGGAUAAAUAUGAUGAUGGUCGUGAUGCUAAAAACAAGAAGUCACAAAGAAAACACUAUUCUGAUGAUGAUGGUGGUGGUGAUCCUGAUGUAAAAAUCAGGAAGAUUCAGGAAGGGAGAAGACAUAACUCUAAAGCUGAGUAUGUGAUUGAUGGAUCAAGUGCUAGUCAGGAGUUGUUGCGGGGUAAGAGAAAACUAGACGAUGAAAGCCUGGAUCAACGUGAGGGGAAGUCAAGGAGGAGAGAUUCUAGUAAAGACGAAAAGUAUUUAAGGGCUGAUACUGAAGCUGAGAACCCAAAUAGGUCAUACAGGAGUACAGAGGAUAGGAGUAAAGAUCAACAGACAAGAAGAUCUGGUGGAGAAUAUGAAGGUAAUGAUGGAGAGCGUGAAAAUAAGAUUCAGAGUGGGAAUGAGCUGCAACGUGAAAGCCAACGGGAGAAUCGAGAUUAUGAAGUGCGUGGACAGGAGAGAAGAGAAAGCAGGGAUGAUGACCGCUGGGAAAGGAAACACAAAAGAGAUGAAGAGGAAGAUCAGUACCGGAAGCAUGAGAAAGAAGGGGAAUCUCAGCGUGGAAGGCAUGAACAGGAGGAGGAGCAUAGAAGCAGAAUGCGUGAUAGUUACAAAGAUCAUGAUUCAUACAAGAGGGCUAGACAUGAUGAUUCACAUUCUAGUGGAAGGAGAAGAUAUGACGAUGAAAAGUAUGCUGAUAGGCAGACUAGGCGGUGAAAGCUGCUCUAUAGAUAUUGUUUUAUGUCGGAAGAUCAAUAGGUGUUUUGCUACUAUUUAGGGGUGUUUCUUAUUCGAACUUAGCUAAUCUGUGAGGGAAUAUAACUGCUGGUCAAGGCAAGGGUAAAUUCCCAAGGCAAUGAGGAGUAGAGAAAUUGGUGCUAAACUGGAAUAUUCCUUACACCUACGUUAGGAUUGUUCAUUAUAUCCCCCCUUUCAAACUGAUUAUAUCGUUGGGCUCCAAUUCUCUUACAAUUAUGACACAACGAUUCGAAGAUUUAUGGUUACUGCAUUGAACAUGCUCUUUUCCAAGUGCGCUAUGUUUCAGAAUGAAGCUUAAAAAAUCAGCUCAGUGGAGGGGAAGAAGUGGCUGAUGUCUGGAAAACAAGCAUAAAGAGGCAUAGUUUGGUGAGCUGUCUAGUAUCAAAGGGAUAUGUGUGGGGUUUAGUUCUCGAAAUACUCUGAAGUGUAGCUAAAUGGGAUUUUCCUGAUGACCCUGAAAUUGUUGUGCAAGGGUUGGCUGUAAUAAGUUCUUUUGUUGUCAUAUCUUUGACUCUUGUAUGAUUUCUUAUUUGGGAAUGUGUGCUACAUUUGCUUCCUUGUGUGAAGUGAGGUUCCAGGCUCAUGUAGAACAUGCAUGUUUUUCCUUUUGGUGAUUUUGAUUGCAAUAGAUUCUGCAGAACAUGUUUUGGAAUA